UACAGAGGAUGCAAGCGUUAUCCGGAAUGAUUGGGCGUAAAGCGUCUGUAGGUGGCUUUUUUAAGUCCGCCGUCAAAUCCCAGGGCUCAACUCUGGACAGGCGGUGGAAACUACCAAGCUUGAGUACGGUAGGGGCAGAGGGAAUUUCCGGUGGAGCGGUGAAAUGCGUAGAUAUCAGGAGGAACACCGAUGGCGAAGGCAGGUCUCUGGGCUGGACACUGACGCUCAUGCACGAAAGCGUGGGGAGCAAACAGG
rnacentral:rRNA from 1 species